AUGAUCAUCAAGAGCUUCAAUUAUUGCAAUGACAACCUUACACUGAUUAAAAGGUUUAGAAACACAAACCCAAAUCACUUUUUCAAAAUAUUCCUACACAAUGGGAUGGUUGUAGGCAAUUUGGGCCAGAGUCGUUUUCCCAAUACCUCCCAUGCCCACUAAGGGAGAUGAUAUGGAGAUUUCUUUCUAUGGCAUCACUGCUACUAGCCUCACCCAAUAGACCACUCAAUAUAUAACCAAUAUGCUCAUCACGACCAAAAAAUGUUGACUCAUCAACUAAAAACGUAGUCAUUGAUCAGUCCUCAAUGGCAGAACCUCCGCUCAACUCAAAUCCAUACAUCUCUCUUUGAUAUCGUGGCACAGUUUGAGCUUAACCACUUGAUGGAAACAACAUGAAGGGGAGGGGAUGAAGGAGCAUACCUUCUUCUUCCGAACAGGAGGAUCCUUACCAGCAUCUUCUUUUGCUUGUUUCUGAAUAGCUAAUUUGACCAUGUGUUCCACCCCGUCCACCACAUCGUCCAUCUCGUAGCAAGCGUUGGUGAGCUUUUCUGACCAAAGCCUCACAGCUUCUUCCUUAAACUGCCUUCACUCAGCAUCAUUUAGCACCGCCUUCAAUUGUAGAGUUAGGAGAUCGGUGGCUCUGAAAUUCUCUGUGAACGUUGCCAAAGAGAGAUUGGUGCAAGAUUUCUCACAUCCCAUCAAUUCUGAUUAAGAAAGAACAAUUCUUUAAAGUUCGAGUACAGGUGCUAUGAUACAGAGUGGCCAAUAUUCAGCCUUGCAGAAAUCUGUUCUAGUUCGGGAAAGCAAAGCAAAGACAUAUAAUUAUCUUUGGAUCAAUGAUGCGUGGUGAAUGUUGCUGCUCUCUUCUAAGAACUAUUGUCAUACAUCUCCUACAAUGUUGUACCUUUGCCAUGUUUAUCAUGGAUUAGUCUGUCUUCAUUUACAUUCCAGCUUCUCCUUUGAUUAUGUUAUAAUCUUAUUAAGACACUGCUUUCUUUCACGAUUGUGGUCAGCAUUUUGCCAUUUCUUUCUUUAUUUAUUUUCAGAUUUCAAAUAGAUGAAAUGACGCAGAAUCAUACUUGGCAUUUCAUAGAAUACUUGGCAUUUAAUAGAAUUCUAGUGAAGCAGCUAGUGGAGAAUAUAAGGAAAUGUCUUCUUCUUUUUCAUCUUAUUUAAUUUUAUUUAUUCAUUUAUCAAUCACUUACCAUUGCACAAGUUAGCAAAUUGUGAAAUUUGAAGUGAAAAUAGAUGUGUCAGCUGUGCCCACGUGCACAGCUGCACAAACUACACAAGGGUAUUUUUUAAAUUGAUUUCUGCCCGAUAAUAAUCUGUCUUAGAAGAUUAUAAAAGACAAGUUUUAUAAGCACCACCAAAAAAAAAAUCUGAAUGACUUUGCUUGAGAGACAGAAUUUUGUGCCAAGUGAGCUUGCCGGUUUGGUUUAAGAGAAAAGCUACAAUUCAUUUCAGGCGGAUGCUUCCUCCAAUAGAUUGGUUAAUAUCGAAUACAUAUGGCUUUAUUUCCACUGAAAAAGGGGAGGUUUAGGUGGAGCUUUGAGUAUGUCUUGAUGGCUGGCAGGUCCAUGUGGAGUUAGAAUUGUGUUACAGCAUGACUUAGAAGCGAUUAAUAACACUGGUAGGGCUGUUUGGUACUCUUGUUUAAACAACGGUUUUCAGUUUAAACAACAAUAACACUUUUGACACGUAUUUCUAUAACACUCAAACACGUAUUUCCAUAACACUGAAAACUGAACAACAAUACUUAAAUAUUGCUACCAAACGGGCCAAAAGGUCAAAACACUGUACGUGCAGUGUCCUACUAUAAAAAAAUUUUUUUGGAAGCUCAUGGGGCAAUUGACUCUCUGGCCCCUGGCUCGCCCAGUAUUGGCUACAAUCAAGUUGUCUCUCUCAGUUCAAAUACCUGCAUUAAGCCAAGAACCAUGCUGGCCAAUGCAAGAAAGCUAAAUGUCUGUGGCUGUCUCUCUCUCU